AUCUACUCUAAACCUGAAGACCCUGUGAUAUACAGCACUAUAAAUGAUGAAAACCCAAAUGAUGCCAACAGAAGCAUAACCACAUACAGUACUAUUGAUCAUGUUCCUGGGAGAGAAGCAAAGCCUCCAGCAGGUGGAACAAUAUACAGCUCUGUGACUCCACACCAGCAGCACCAGUAAGAAGAACACAGGAA